rnacentral:rRNA from 1 species
GUGCCAGCAGCCGCGGUAACACGGGGGGUGCAAGCGUUAUUCGGAAUUAUUGGGCGUAAAGGGCGCGUAGGCGGUCUUGUCAGUCAGAUGUGAAAGCCCGGGGCUCAACCCCGGAAGAGCAUUUGAAACAGCAAGACUUGAGUACGGGAGAGGAAAGCGGAAUUCCUGGUGUAGAGGUGAAAUUCGUAGAUAUCAGGAGGAACACCGAUGGCGAAGGCAGCUUUCUGGACCGAUACUGACGCUGAGGCGCGAAGGCGUGGGUAGCGAACAGGAUUAGAUACCCUGGUAGUCCACGCAGUAAACGAUG